UAAUGACUGUUCCUCCUAUUGCCUUUAGGCACGGCACUAGGAUUUUAGGUCAUCACGAAUUAAAAUUGAUUUUGUUUUCACUCAGAGAAUAUCAAGGUAGUGGGAUUAUCAGUGUAUUCUCUGAAAUUUGUGGGGUCAAACAAUU